CGAUAUGCGUUAAGGAUUGAAACGACAUCCUUUUUAUGCUGAACUAGAUUCAGUAUCUGUUAAAAUUAAUAAAAUUAGUGCUUAAAAUAGACAGAUGCUGAAAUAAAUUCAGCAUAAAAAGAUAUAGUGGAAAGCCUGUUAAAAC
rnacentral:sRNA from 1 species